rnacentral:rRNA from 1 species
GAUGAACGCUGGCGGCGUGCUUAACACAUGCAAGUCGAACGAGGUCCAUCCAAACUUGUUUGGGGAAGAUCUAGUGGCGAACGGGUGCAUAACACGUGAGAAACCUGCCUCAGUCUCUGGGAUAACAGUUGGAAACGACUGCUAAUACCGGAUGCCGUCACACCAUCACAUGUUGGAAUGACGAAAGAUUUAUCGGACUGAGAGGGUCUCGCGGCCUAUCAGCUAGUUGGAGAGGUAACGGCUCACCAAGGCAUCGACGGGUAGCUGGUCUGUGAGGAUGAUCAGCCACACUGGGACUGAGACACGGCCCAGACUCCUACGGGAGGCAGCAGUGGGGAAUCUUGCACAAUGGGCGAAAGCCUGAUGCAGCAACGCCGCGUGCGGGAAGAAGGCCCUAGGGUUGUAAACCGCUUUCAGUAGGGAAGAAAAUGACGGUACCUACAGAAGAAGGUGCGGCCAACUACGUGCCAGCAGCCGCCGCGGUA